AGAAUGAAUUAAGAUUUAUGCCAGUUGCAAAGAAGAAUAUUGGCUCACUAUUUUUCCUCUGGGCAUGUGGAAAUGUAAAUCAGUCCAUGUUACUCACCUCGGAGAAGCAGAAGUACGAUUUACUAUUGUUGCUUGCUUACUUACUCUUAUCAAUUUCUAUGAGAGAGUUGUACUGCGACAUUAGCUCUUUUGACUAGAUGUGAUGACAGACUGUCUUUGGUCCAUUCUCUUUUAUUGCCUUGGAAGAGAAUAAAUGAGGAGUAGUUCUCACCCAUUGCAGCUGAGGCAUCACACCUGUAAUGGGAUUAACAAGAUGAUAAUAUAUCUUUUGCCAAGACCACAUACUAGCAGCUAUUACUAACAAAGAAAAGACUGCUUCUGUAAUACAACAAUAAAUUUAUUGAACUAAAAGUUGAGACUGACAUCUGGGCACAUUGGGCUCCUCAUGCCUCUGAAUAAACAGACAAACAAAUGAGUUACUAUACCAGCAGAGGGGUACAAGCAAUUUUCCAGUCUUGACCCUUUAUCUGUUGACCAAGCUAAGGCAGAAACCAGCUAAAUUCUGGAUUUAAUCUUGAGCAGCAAAAAAGAUCAGCUUUUGAAGUGGAUCUGCUUUUAUUCUUGGCAAAAGUUCAGCGGAGACCAACCAGAGUGGUGACAAAGUUCUUCAACAUCAAGCCAAAUGUAAUACAAGGAAUUACGGAUAGUGCUUAAUCUAAAAUAAAGAAAUUCCACAUCUCCCUAAAAAGUUAUUGGCUUCAAGAAUGAAAACAAAAGAAGCAUAUUUGUCUCAAUCCAAACACAGACACCAGAAAGACAAACCAGGAGUAUACAGCAAAGUAGCUUGCAGGAUAAUACAUUGAAAAAUGUAAUUGUGCAUAAAUCAUGCACAAAGUAGAAACCACAAAUUCUGUAUUUGGCAAGGCUUCGGUUCCUUUGCAUAAUUCUUUCAUUUUCAUCUUGCUGCUUCCAUUCUCUUUUCAUCAAAAAAAGCUACAUAAAACAAAGACAUAAACUGUAUGCAAUUAAAAUGAGAAAAUAGCUGAAAGGAAUGUAUUGAUAAUUAUGUUAAAAUCUAUACCAUAAGUAUUCUUGCAUUGUUAAGCAUCUAAUUUUUCAUGUGUUGACAUCAGCAUCUCAGUUCUCUCUAACAUCUGAAAGCUUUUUUUUUUAAGGCAACUUCUUUUAGAGUGAACAAACUUAUGUACCACCGAGUUGACAAAAGUAUAACUAUAUCCUACAGAAAGAGACCUCAAGUAAACCUCCAGCAGCCAUCUGGACUUCCAUGAAAACAGAACAAUCAGUGAGAUGCAGAGCUUGGAGGAGACAGUUUCCAUAGACUGAAGCACGUGCUGAAGCAAAGUUCACACUUGCAGGAUUAGAAGAGGUUGACCGAAAGAAGGAAGGACAUGGACAGCUAUGUUGUUGUGGAGUCCUGUUUUAUAGUCAUAACCUUGAGUCAAGUGAGUUUGUCUGGACAGACAGAGCUUGUUGCCUUUACUUAUAGGGAAGGCACCGGACACAGACAGCCUCAAGGACAUUUGUUCUAGCCUUUCAGUAUCCUUUCUCUUAAUUAUCUCACCUCAUCCAUGAAGCUGGUAUGUACGAUUUUUCCUUUCUUUCUCAAUCCUUUAAAAAAUUAAAGCUCUAAAUCUCAUUUCCACUUAGAUUUUAAUGUUGCAUUGUAACUUAAGAUAAAACCUUGCUCUGAUGUUAAAAAUACUAAAGUAAGAAGCAAUAUGGCAUAGUGCUUAUGAGCAGGACUACAUAGUUCUUUCUGAAUACAAAUCUCAGAUAAAACACUAUCUCAGUGAUCAACCAGGUUAAGCAACCUUUUUAGUGCCUCAAUUAUUCCAUUUGUAAAAUUGUAAUAAUGAUAGUACUAACCUAUAAGAUUGUGGUGAGGAUUAAGUCAGAUAAUACAAAAGAAGCAUUUAGAGUAUUUCCUGGCAUUAUCUACCAUUUAUUGAAUUUUUAUGGUUAAGAAGAAUAAGGAAAAGCAGAAGAAAAGGAAAAGAGAAAAAAUACAUAAGAAGAAGGAAGAGUGGUAAGCUCUAGUAAAUUACAACAAACGGUAACGUAGAAAACAUUUGUUAGCCCUUAAUAUAGGCCAGGCACUGUGUUCAAUGCUUAAACCUCAUUACUGUUCUUUGAAGUGGAU
rnacentral:lncRNA from 1 species